UCUGAAUGACAAGGUAAGCAGUAAUUAUAUAUUAUAUUUGUGCACACGAUGUUAAACUAAACGAUGAAAGAAAAAAGAAAACAUAUGACACAGCAAUGAAGUAAACUCACUCUACAGUGUACAAACAAGUUGUUGAUAUGUCACAGUUGGCUCGGCUGGUACUUUGGCGCCAGUAACACAACUCGGAAUAAUAUGAAACAAUAAACUACCAGAUUCUCUUGAAAACCGAGGCUAAGAAAAACUGAUGUGAGGAACACUCAGCACCGGAAUGUUACAAAAAAGUUGUGUAUUCUCCAGUGUUCUAAAAAUCGGUCUAGGCGGCCGCCUAGGCGGUGCCUAGGCGCUAGGCGGCCCCGAAACGCCCCGAUUCGGUGCUAGGCGGUGAAUUAGGCGUUUUUUUACAAAAAUCGGUCCUAGGCGGUCCACAUACCGCCUAGGCGGUCCAGGCGGCCAAUAACAAAAAAAAAAGAUUUUUAAUAAAUAAAAUCGAAAAUUAUGAUUUUAUUAUAAAAAAUUAAGUAUUUACUUGUACUUAACUUAAUAUCCUAUAAAACAAGUAAAAUGAUUAAUUUUAUUUAAUAUUUCUUACAUUAUUUAUAAGAUAGUGGUUGGUAUAUAUUUGUUUAAUCAAUGAUUUUGUAUUACAUGUAUCAAGUAUUUAAUUUCAAUAUAUGAUAUUAUAUUGUUUACCGGCUAGUAGUGAAAAGUAGAUAAAAUCAUUAAAUUAUGUUUAAUUAUAAUAAUUUAAAAAUAAUAUAUGUCCGAUUAAUGCUCCGAUUAAUCUUUCCGAUUAAUCCCCGAUUUCCCGAUUAAUCGCUAGAAGGUACCCCGACCGCCCUGGGACGCCUAGCGAUUUCUGGAACAUUGGUAUUCUCAGAUAGAGAAAAUUUAUGCCAACAAGAAUAGAACAACUUGUAAACAAUCAAAUAAUUGUGCCUUCAAACAUUUCAAGGCCAUUUCAAAUUGAAAAGAAAAACUGUUU
rnacentral:lncRNA from 1 species